GGCGUAUGGUAUAGUGGUUUCACGUUCGCUUCCCUUGGCUUCUUGGGUCUGCGAAAGGUUUUCGGUUCGAACCCGAUUCUCGCCG